GUGCUUGCGUGCUAGUACCCGACCUACGGGAAGUGGUGCUUCGUAUAAUUGUUGCCUCGCGGCGGACGCCCUCUGGGUGUGCCGCUGCGGCCGAAUAGCGCUUGCGGCGUUGCCUCGUGGCGCUGGCACGUAACGUGCCUGCUGCUAUCAAGGCAACCUCGCUCCCGCUGUUGGUCUCGGAUGCUGCUCACGAUAAAGGGUCGUGGCCCUUUCGGUUGCCUCGACCCGACCCAAAGCUCUCCGAACUGAGAACAACCGGAACAGGAGUUGCCUCUACCUCUCCACAGUUACGUGGUAGGAUACGCGACUCUCUGCGCCGAUCCUCAAGGAGGAUGAGCUAUGCCGCUCAACAGCGACAACCGGCCCGGCCGUUGCCUCUGCGUUUCCACGCAAGUGGAAGGGCGGGAUGACGGCCGACGCUGGGCGUCACCAAGGACGUGCU
rnacentral:misc_RNA from 1 species